UACAGGGGGGGCAAGCGUUGUUCGGAAUUACUGGGCGUAAAGGGCCAGUAGGCGGCCAACUAAGUCCGACGUGAAAUCCCUAGGCUUAACCUAGGAACUGCGUCGGAUACUGGAUGGCUUGAGUUCGGGAGAGGGAUGCAGAAUUCCAGGUGUAGCGGUGAAAUGCGCAGAUAUCAGGAGGAACACCGGUGGCGAAGGCGGAUCUCUGGGCCUUGCCUGACGCUGAGGCGCGAAAGCUAGGGGAGCGAACAGG
rnacentral:rRNA from 1 species